GGAGUCUGGGCCGUGUCUCAGUCCCAAUGUGGCCGUUCGACCUCUCAGUCCGGCUACCGAUCGUCGGCUUGGUGGGCCGUUACCUCACCAACUACCUAAUCGGACGCGAGUCCAUCUUAAAGCGGCUGACCUUUGGUAGCAAAGUCAUGCGGCUUCGCUACAUUAUGCGGUAUUAGCACAAAUUUCUCUGUGUUAUCCCCCUCUUUAAGGCAGGUUACUCACGCGUUACUCACCCGUCCGCCACUAAGCUUUCGCAGAAGCAAGCUUCCGCUGAGCUCCGUUCGACUUGCAUGUAUUAAGCAUACCGCCAGCGUUCGUCCUCGAGCCAGGAUCAAACUACU
rnacentral:rRNA from 1 species